AACCACAACCGCCAAAAGUGACGCUUAAUAUGUUUUAACUUUCGCUUUUCCAUGAGUGUGCAUGUCCAAAUAAAAAUAAGUCUACAUAUGAUUAAAAUAUAUAAAAAAAAGUUAAAAGAAAAGCGUGCCUGUGCUUUUCCUUUCUUAUGCGAGUUUUUUCGUGAGUGUUUAUGUUGAAUCCUUCUUAUUCUAUUAAUAAAAUGGCUGGGUUUUGUUUUCUCAAAUUUUGGGUUUGUUUGGGGGCCAA
rnacentral:lncRNA from 1 species